AUGAACCAAACGUCGAGUUAAGGGGCCUAAAUGAAUGCUCAUACAGAUCCCAUCAAAAGGUGUUGGUUGCUAUAGACAGCAGGACGGUGGCCAUGGAAGUUGGAAUCCGCUAAGGAGUGUGUAACAACUCACCUGCCGAAGCAACUAGCCCUUAAAAUGGUAUGGCGCUCAAGCAUUCUCCCGAUACUCGACCGCCGGGGCACUACCGGCCUGGCUGAUUUUGGGGGGGGAGGGGGGCUCGACUCUCUCUCCUCUUCAGGUCUCGAAGCCCCGGUGAGUAGGAGGGUCGCGGUGGUGAGCGUAGAAGGGUAUGGCGUGAGCCGGCCUGGAGCCUCCACUGGUGCAGAUCUUGGUGGUAGUAGCAAAUAGUCGAGAGAGACUCCCUUGAAGGCCGAAGUGGGGAAGGGUUCCA
rnacentral:rRNA from 1 species